UACGUAGGGUGCAAGCGUUAAUCGGAAUUACUGGGCGUAAAGCGUGCGCAGGCGGUUCUAUAAGACAGAGGUGAAAUCCCCGGGCUCAACCUGGGAACUGCAUUUGUGACUGUAGAGCUGGAGUACGGUAGAGGGGGAUGGAAUUCCGCGUGUAGCAGUGAAAUGCGUAGAUAUGCGGAGGAACACCGAUGGCGAAGGCAAUCCCCUGGACCUGUACUGACGCUCAUGCACGAAAGCGUGGGGAGCAAACAGG
rnacentral:rRNA from 1 species